ACUCUGGUAUUGAUUGGUGCUUGCAUCAUGAUUUACAUUUGAGUGAGUGGCGAACUGGUGAGUAACACGUGGGAAACCUGCCCAGAAGCGGGGGAUAACACCUGGAAACAGAUGCUAAUACCGCAUAACAACUUGGACCGCAUGGUCCGAGUUUGAAAGAUGGCUUCGGCUAUCACUUUUGGAUGGUCCCGCGGCGUAUUAGCUAGAUGGUGGGGUAACGGCUCACCAUGGCAAUGAUACGUAGCCGACCUGAGAGGGUAAUCGGCCACAUUGGGACUGAGACACGGCCCAAACUCCUACGGGAGGCAGCAGUAGGGAAUCUUCCACAAUGGACGAAAGUCUGAUGGAGCAACGCCGCGUGAGUGAAGAAGGGUUUCGGCUCGUAAAACUCUGUUGUUAAAGAAGAACAUAUCUGAGAGUAACUGUUCAGGUAUUGACGGUAUUUAACCAGAAAGCCACGGCUAACUACGUGCCAGCAGCCGCGGUAAUACGUAGGUGGCAAGCGUUGUCCGGAUUUAUUGGGCGUAAAGCGAGCGCAGGCGGUUUUUUAAGUCUAAUGUGAAAGCCUUCGGCUCAACCGAAGAAGUGCAUCGGAAACUGGCAGGCUAGAGUCUUGUAGAGGGGGGUAGAAUUCCAGGUGUAGCGGUGAAAUGCGUAGAGAUCUGGAGGAAUACCGGUGGCGAAGGCGGCCCCCUGGACAAAGACUGACGCUCAGUGCGA
rnacentral:rRNA from 1 species